rnacentral:lncRNA from 1 species
AGAAAUAUUCUCAAUAAAAAUCAAAUUUGAACCACGAGUGCACCACAUGUCAGAAGUUCAUUACAAAGGUCUUAUGAAAUACAAAUGAAUGAGAGAGAGAGGAGGAGAGAGUGAAGACAAACUUAUAGCACACCCACUUUUAUGAAUACACUAUUGAUUAUGAAAUACAAAUGAAUGAGAGAGAGAGGAGGAGAGAGUGAAGACAAACUUAUAGCACACCCACUUUUAUGAAUACACUAUUGAUUGCGACAUCUUCGGUAUGCAGUCCACAUUUGUGUUGUAAUUAUGUGUACCUCAAAAUUAUGGCCAGCUCUACUUAGAGAAAUCAGCUGCUCAAGUUCUUCCUAUCCUCUUCACUUCCAUCUUCUUCUUCCUCUUUUGCAGGCAUCUCGAUAUCUGUUCUUACUUGUCUAAGAAUUUGAUGUUGAAAAGAUAUUUCAAUAGAGCUUUGUGCUCUCCUUAAUCUAAUGUAGUGCAAAAUAUAGGUGGUAAAUAACAACGAGGACAGGUACAAAGCGGAUAUCCUUCUUUAGUUGUGGAAGCACAUGGCAUUUUAACUACCAUAAAGCAUGACAAAAUACCGUUUCAACUCGAGACCAUAUAUGGAGAACAAGCUAACUUAGUACAAUUCCAUAUACAAUUAGGGAUAUUUGUAUGAAACAUCCAUUCAAAUGAAUUAUGAAUUCAAAAACUUUCAAAUGAAUUAUGGAUCCUUCGAUUACUUUCAGAAGAAAAAAUAGAAGUGAAAACCACAUCUAAAUCCAUUAGCAUAUAUCAAUCAUUUUGUGUCAAUGAGAAAAGAUACCGAAACAACAAUAAUCCAUACAACCCAAUACGAAAGUGUUAUCAAAUUACUUAAUGUCACUACACAUGUUCACUCGAUUAUUAGAUCAAUCAACCAGUCUCAACAGGAAAAGGAAACUACAAUAUUGUGAACACUAAGAUAAAUUGAACGUUUAGUUUGCAAUUUGUUCUCAUAUGUUGUAAUGCUCAUUGAACAUGCAGAAUGAUCGAAAUGAGGCAAAUAAUCCUCUAGAUAAUCACAGCAUAUUGAAAGGAAAAAGGAAAAGGGGUCAUCGUGGUAAUUGAAAAGCAAGAAGAAACAUAGAGAGUCAAAUAUAUACAGCAAGAACUUGCCAUUCAUAGUAAUUGGAAAGCAAGAAGACAAAAAAUGCAACAAAAAAUGCUUCUAUCUCAGUGGGUACCACUCUCAUAUAGCUCCUAUCUCAGUUGGUUCCCUCAAUUCACAUGCAUAUGGUGAUUCAUUUCACAUGCUAAAGGUGAUUCAAUCCAUGAGAGGGAUAAAAUACGAAAGCUAAAAGGUAAUUAUCAUUAGUUCACUAACAAUAAGUUAACUCUGUAAAUCAGUAAGCCAUUUCUGUAAAUCAGUUAGAGUGCAAGUUCUUGAAAUGUUGAUUGGUAUGAUUGUCAUGGUGGGCUAAUUAAAACCACUUCUGUCUAAUUUAAAUAUCUAACAGUAUGCAUAGCAAAAGCUGCAUUUAAUUGAUGACAAUAGGAUAGCACUAUAGCAACUAGAUCACUAAUUUAUUGAUCAUCAUGAAAUUGUGCUGUAUUUUUUCGUUUAAAAAAAAUCAGUAACAUUUUUUAUUCAUCAAACCUCUUUUUGUUAAUCAAAUUCUUGUGCCUAAUUCAUGAGAAAAAUGACCAAUGGCUAGGAAAUCAAUUUGAUCUUAGAUGGAGAUGAUUUGAUCAUUUAAGUGCACAAAUUCCUCAGCAACACAUUAUUGAAUUUUAGUCCUCUUUAUUCAUCAUGCUUAUCAUAUUUGGUCUUUGAAAUUUAGCAGUAAAUUUCAUUACAAGAAAGCCAUGUACUAUGCCCUUCCCUAUGAAAGCUAAAAGCUAAUUGACAAACAAAAUAACAACACUAAAAGCUAUGCUAAUUAACAUUAGGAACAAGAGAAGAACAAUACUUACUAUGUUGUGAUUUGAGGCUGCCCUGUGUCUGUUAAAAGAUUUGGAGUAGAAGAGGAGCCUUUACUAAGACCCAAAGAAAGCCUGUGGCUAGGGUUUUGGGGUGUGCCCGAGAGAAAGAGAGAGAAAUGAUUCCUUGCUAGGGUUUUGGAAGAGGACUAAGAAGGACCCUUUUUGCUAGGGAAGAGAGAGCAAGAGGGGCUGCUGCAAAUGAAAAAUCCAUCAGAUUGCAUAACCAAAGGGGAAAAAAAUCAACAUCAAAUGGAAAGAUCCCAAAACCUAAGAAUAUUGCAUUUAGAUUUGGUUUAGCAUUAACCAGGAAAUAAAAUAGAAAAAAAAAAGAAGAAAAAAAGGAGUUCAAAUAGAUCCUGCUGUCAUUAGAUCUAGGGUUUAUUUUUUAUUAUCUCAAAGCAAAACCAGAAAAAAAUGAUUGAAAAGACGCAAAUGCUUGUAGAGAUUCUCUGAUGGGGAAAUUUAUUAAACCACACCCAAGAGAUUCUCUGAUUUUGCCCAAACCCUUUGUUUUACUUUCAAAAAGCUCAUCUACACAUUAGAGGGUAAAAAAUUGGUGGAGGGGCAAUUUUUAGUUUUACCCUCUAUCAAAGUCAAAGUGGUUCUUAGAGAAUGGUAUUUGUGAUGUUAAUAUUUUUAAAUACCAAUAUUCA